GAUUUUAGCGUGAAUGCGCGCAACCUUCUGGCGAGCCUUGGCGCGAUUGGCAGAACCGAGCUUUUUACGGCUCAGGCGGCGCUGUGCCAGUGCAAGCCUUGCAGCAUACCGGCCUGUAUGACGGGCAUUGGCAAUACGCUCACCCUCGGACGUGACAAACAGGUCCUUAAGACCCAUGUCGAUGCCGACCAUUUUCGGCGUAACGGGCAGGGCUUGAGGUUCAAACUCGCACAGGCACGACACGAAGUAGCGGCCCGCUGCAUCCCUGGAAAUUGUCACAGUGGACGGUGCGGACGGCAGGUCACGACUCCAACGAACAUUAAGCGGCAUCUUGCUUUUGGCAAGGUACAACUUUCCGUCCUGAUACUUAAAGGCCGAGGCCGUGAACUCAGCCGAUUGGUGGUUUCGCUUUUUCUUGAAGGCUGGGUAUUUAGCGCGACCUUCAAAGAAGUUCUUGAACGCGGCCUGCUGGUGGCGCAAGCACUGCUGCAAGGGUACGCAAGAAACCUCAUUCAGAAACGCCAGUUC
rnacentral:antisense_RNA from 1 species